GGGGCCGACAGGUAUCGACAUGGUGGUCUUCGUGCGAACGGUUGCAGGUCGAGGUUCCCGGAGGCCUCGUUAAACACCGGGAAAAUCAAUACGUGCGGACCAUGAGUUCGCCCUCGCUGCUUAGCUCAAACUAAGUAGGUGAGAGUCGGCCCUCCUUCGGCCCGUGAGGAGGGGCUCCGGCUUCAGAAACGGGCUCACCCGAAGCGGUCCGUUCCCGCCGCCAGGGGACAUUUCAGGGGACUGGUCUCCCGGAUUUCACCCGCCGGCGCGGGGCCCGGGAGACGAGAUCAAAGCGCCGGCUAAACCUGUAGAAGCCUUCGCUCGGACGCCGUGGACGCCGGUUCAAUUCCGGCCGGCUCCACUG
rnacentral:tmRNA from 1 species